GUGUGUGUGUGUGUAUGUAUAUAUGUGUUUCUUUGAAACGGUGAUAAGAGUUUUCUGAGUAUUGAUAUGAUAUUCAUUUAUCUGGUAUUGUUAAUUGAUUAUUUUUUUGUUACUUAUGGUGUAGCGGUGUAGAAUUCUUACUGGGUUGUAAAGCUCACAUGUCCCUUUCUCUUUUUCUUUUUUAGAGUUGUAAGUUGCGUAGAACUUAGCUAUGGUUGAUAUCACAGGUGGAAUGGAUGAAUAGAUAGAGUAUCAGUGAUACUGGUUGAAUGAUUAAAUUCUGUAAUUGAAUUAGUUUUAUUGUUCGUUAUAAAUUGAGAUCAUUGUUGAUUAUGGAUAUUGAGGUUGUAUUAAAUUUUCAGGCCUAGCAUAUUCUCUAGGGU
rnacentral:lncRNA from 1 species